rnacentral:rRNA from 1 species
UACGGAGGAUGCAAGCGUUAUCCGGAAUCAUUGGGCGUAAAGCGUCCGCAGGUGGCUGUUCAAGUCUGCUGUUAAAGACAGAAGCUCAACUUCUGAAAAGCAGUGGAAACUGGACGGCUAGAGUACGGUAGGGGUUGAGGGAAUUCCCAGUGUAGCGGUGAAAUGCGUAGAUAUUGGGAAGAACACCAGUGGCGAAGGCGCUCAACUGGACCGUAACUGACACUCAGGGACGAAAGCUAGGGUAGCGAAAGGG